rnacentral:rRNA from 1 species
AUUGAACGCUGGCGGCAUGCCUUACACAUGCAAGUCGAACGGUAGACCCUUUCGGGGGAUGAGAGUGGCGAACGGGUGAGUAAUGCAUCGGAACGUGCCUAGUCGUGGGGGAUAACGUAGCGAAAGUUACGCUAAUACCGCAUACGCACUGAGGUGGAAAGCGGGGGACCGUAAGGCCUCGCGCGAUUGGAGCGGCCGAUGUCGGAUUAGCUAGUUGGUGAGGUAAAGGCUCACCAAGGCGACGAUCCGUAGCGGGUCUGAGAGGAUGAUCCGCCACACUGGGACUGAGACACGGCCCAGACUCCUACGGGAGGCAGCAGUGGGGAAUUUUGGACAAUGGGCGCAAGCCUGAUCCAGCCAUGCCGCGUGCGGGAAGAAGGCCUCGGUUGUAAACCGCUUUCGGACAGAAGAAAUACGCAUGGACUAAUACUACUGUGUUGGAGUGACGGUACUGUAAGAAGAAG